UACGAAGGGGGCUAGCGUUGUUCGGAAUUACUGGGCGUAAAGAGCUCGUAGGCGGUUCGUCGCGUCGGCUGUGAAAUCCCGAGGCUCAACCUCGGGUCUGCAGUCGAUACGGGCGGACUGGAGUUCGGCAGGGGAGACUGGAAUUCCUGGUGUAGCGGUGAAAUGCGCAGAUAUCAGGAGGAACACCGGUGGCGAAGGCGGGUCUCUGGGCCGAUACUGACGCUGAGGAGCGAAAGCGUGGGGAGCGAACAGG
rnacentral:rRNA from 1 species